AGUUUUAAAAUAAUUAAUGUGGUCCAAAUUACACCAAAAAAACUGUUAUAUGACUUUAUGAAGUUUAUUUUAAUAUUACAACUGCAGUUUAUAUUCAAAUAAUGAAACAAUGAGGAUCCYAUAAAGACAAAAUCUGAAAUUUGGUUAAAUUUUUCUGAAGGUUUCUUCCAGUUAAGAGUUUUUUUUCCUCUCCACUGUCACCUGCUGACUUACAAUGUCAAAUAUGAGAGACGUUUCAGUGCAAUCUCAUACAGUAGCUCUGUUUGUUAGAUAAUACUUUGAUACUGCAGAGAACCGUACUGAAAUUAAAUGAACUGGAUGUAUUGUUGGUGAAGAUAAGAUCUGGAUGUUUUAMCUUUGUAUAUAUUUGUUUGAUCACCAUUUUAAGCUUUAAUAUUUCCUYUAUUUCUUGAGUAAAAUAUCUGAGUACUGAGUAAGCUGUCCUAAUAAACCUUAAAUUCAUUGAGUCCAGACAGAACUGAAGGUUUUGACUCUUUUGAGAUGUAACCAGUGGGAGCUUGUCACCAACAAAAACGCUCUUGAAGUGUUAAAAUAUCAUUACAGCCUUUCAAAAAAGAAAAAGCCUUGAAGACUUUGAAACAUUAUUGUUACAUAAUAUAAGUAAGAGACAGGGGGRAAAAAGAAAACUCAAACAAGGGGGCAUUGAUUUCAAAGACUUAUGCCUGGAGAUACAUUCAGCCCAGUUUACUGUUUGACUGAGCCUUUUGUGUUAAAUAAAAAAAAAAAAAAACAUGUUCAAAAUACUCAAUGACACAAAAAGCCAAACAUAAAAGCAGAUGGAGAAAAAAAAACACAUUUACACACAACGGACGCCAAUAAAUGAUUUAUUUUAUUGAAAGGCAUAACCCACUCCUUUUUAUAAAAAAGUAAAUAUAAAUUUCAAAUGAAUCUUUUAGGUCAUUACUUACAAAAGCUUAUUGAGUGUGUCUUUAAUGUCAAAAAUACAACAAUUAUGGAACAAACACAGUGAGAGUUUGUAUAGUAAACCUAUAUAAUUUCACUACUUCAAGUUAUUGUGUAAAUAUGUCAAAAAUAAAACUUAAAUUGUUUUUGUCUUUAAAUAUUUAAGAGGUAUGAAGGUAUUUUUAAAAAAUAUUGUUGAAUCAAGUGACAUUUCAACAGUUCUGAAACAAUACAACUAUAUGAUGAUACAUGAUCAUCGAUGAAUGACUGACAAUUCAAAAUAAAAAAGGUAGAACAGGCUUUAACAGUUCAUUUAGAAAAUAAAAGCAAAAAAACACAUAAUUUACAAGAAAAAUGAAAAACAUCUAACAUUAGAUGGAAUCUAAUAACUGUUCAUUUAAAUUUUAAACAUAUUUUACUGCAUUAGGUGUCAUAUUUCUUUUUUUUUUGUUAGUUGAUGUUGUUCAAAUACUCAAGUACACAACACUGAAACAGUAAAACGUGCAAGAAGCAAAGCAUUAAAAACUGAGCCUCGUCGUAUCAGAGACGACUGGAUUGCACUGAGUUGUUUUCUGUUUCAUCAACAUUUGAUAUUUAGAUUCGUCAAACCCUCAGAAAAAUAAGUUGCCUAUCAGUUUUAUUUUGGUGAAAUGUAUGAAAAAAAAGUAAGCCACAUGAGAAACCCGCAUCACUCCUUUGACCUUUUAAUAAUGAUCACAAACAUCUCUGCUGACAAUGGAACAACGUUCCAACCAGCUCAUAUAAAGUUCACUGACUUAUAUUUUUAUAAAAAUGUUGUAAUAUGUCGCUCUUGAAUAGCUCAGUUUUGUUGGUUGUUUGUCACAUUUGCAUUGAAAAUAUAUUCCUCAAAAUAAAAUGUUUUGGUGCAAAAGAUUAAUAGUUUGUGUUGAACUGCAAGCUUUUCACAUAUAUUAGUAACAACAAUUCAAAAAAAAUAUUAAUAUAAAAUAAUUCAAAAUUCUUUAUUCUUUUAUCAUAUUUACACCCAUCUAAAUUUUAACUCAUUCACUCCACUAUUUUAUAAUAAACUGUCUAAAAAUAUUGCAUGUGCUCCUUUAGUCUUAUUUAUUAUUUGUGCUUUUUAAAAUAGUCCUUGCUAUAUGUUUACUUUUGUAAAUUCUGUUGUUUGAAGCUAAUUAGAACAGAAACAAUCUGAAUUUUUCUCUCUCAUUUGAAACCAUAAAGGGGUAUUAAUGUUGGCUUUUCUUCUAAAAUUGAAUAGUUUUUUUGGGGUAAAUAUUGCACAGAACCUCCAGAGUGUGCACCAGAAACAUGUAAAUAAUUAAAUAUUCUCUUUUGCUGACAGCUCUCAAAUCCUCAUAUUUAAUUUAAUCAAUCUCAUACUGUGAAAGCUUCGGGAGGUGGAGGAAUCGACUUUAUCAUUGUUUCUAGUUUAAAUGAUUUUUUUUUGGUCUCUUACAUUAGCUGAAGUCUUCCCAGACUUUUAAAACCAUUUAUUGUGAGUGAAUUCGUUUUGAAGCGGCCAACAUUUUGUUUCCAGGUGAAAUUUGAUGAGAGGUUCUGCUGUCUGGGAUUGUGUGGAUAAAUAAGUUUGUACUCUCAUUAAAUGGUGAAUCACCUCAGCUCUUUUCUCCUCAUCAGCAGAAGUGUCUGUUUCAAACCUUGUGUUCCUUCUAAUCAAAUCUCUCUGAAACACCUGGCCAUGGCUUCCACCUCAGCUGGUGUUGCCUUUGACUUCCUGUGUGUGUGUGUGUGUGUUUGUGUGUGCCUGAGUUGUACUGGGGACAUGCAUGUGUUCACGUGAAGAAGUGCAAUAAAAGACCACAUAUGCUUUAUAGCCAUUAGCCCUUCUAUUCUGCAGAGGUUUUCAGGGAGAGAAAGCUUCAUUUGACAUUGUCAUGGACUAAUUAUUCAUAUCUGUUUCACCUUGACACUGUCCAUCACUCGUAUCUUUCUGACAGCUCAUUUCGGCUCGUAGUCUGUUUGUUUCUGGACGUCAGGACUCCACAACGGACUGAACUCUCUUGUUUGAUAACAGACUCUUUGAGCUAGGAGCCCUGUCAUAGGCUGGACAGUAUAUUUGGCAAUCUGUGAUUGGUUGUAAACUGUCACAUGGUGUUAACAUAAUGUUAUAUUACUGGCUGUUUUCUGCUGACGAGUCAGUUACAAUCAUGCAGAACUUCCUGAUUCAGUUAUGUUUAUUUGUCGCUCAUAAUUAAAUCAUAUUUGAUUAUCAUACACGCAGACUUUUCUGGCAUUAUUCCAACUUGUUUCUGCUUUUUGUGACGACAGACAUGUUUAUAUGAUGAAUGUAUUUUCAUUACAGUGAAACUUGUGUUUCUGCUUCCAUUUAUUUUUUUUUCUGUUCAGGUUUUGUAUAUUUUAAACACAACAUAAAGACAAUAUAAAGAAAAGUGCAUUUAAACCAUGUUUAAAGUGAGGUGAUAAUGACCAAUCAAAAACUAACCUAAAGCUUUUUGUUCAACCUCAGUUUGAGUUUAAUUCAGACUGGAGCAGCAAAACAGCCAGUCUGAGUUGUGGUAAUAAAAUAACUCAAAAUUCAAACAUUUCAUAGUGAUUAAAAUGUUUUUUUAUUUGUUUUUCUUUAUAAGCCCUCAAAUCACAUCAAACUCAGGGCCUGCAGUCUAAAUUUGACUCUUUUUAACAUUUUAUCCAGCCCCAAAGGUAAUAUUUUUUGUCACAUUCGUCUCAUUUGAAGGUCAGCUUUCAAGCCAAGAAAACUAAGUUUAAAUUUUUUUAGUCAGUGUUGAUAUUGGUGCAGAAAGAGCAACAGAAAAUCAACUUUAAUUAUCUUUUGCUGUAUUCGUUUCUUAUUUAAAAGUCAAAUAACUGGAUUUUUAGUGAGGGUUUAAUUUGCUGUAUUGUGAUAAAAUGUAUCUUUAAGAAAUAAUAAUGAAAAUAAGAAAAUAAUUUAAUGAUGUGUCUUUCUAGAUUUUAUCAUAUUUUCUCUUUAUCUGUCAGGUUAUGUAUGUUCUGAAUGCUACAAUAAACAUAAUGUAGUAAAGGUUAUGUGUUUUUCUAUAAGACUAACUUGUAAUAUAGUGUUUAUUUUUAUAAAUAUUGACAGAAAUCGGCCCUUGGCUUGGACCAUGUUUUUAAUUUUGGCCAACCUUGUGUAAUUGUGUUUGACACCCCUUCUUUAAAUUGUCAGUAAUUUCCCAUUACUGGGUUAUUUUUACUUGCUAGCAUGAACAGCAGCAGCAGUAGCACUUCCCACGAAAAUGUCAAAAUAAAACAUUUGAGAGAUUAAAAUGUGUGUAUUCAUUUUUAUCUGUGUAACAAUGUUUAGGGGUUGUUGCUAAUAAACAGCAUGAUAUGCAGGAAUGUCUGUGUUCAUCUUUAAAGCCAAUUUAAGAGAGACAUAAUGUGAAUCUGUGGUCUAAUAGUCAAUUCUUUAAUUAGCUACUGCUUCACAUGUCAUUUAAACAUAUUUUACAGCAAUAACAAACCAACCACCUGGAAUAAAAACAGUCUAUUAAUUCAAGGUAAAAAAUUUUUUUCCUUUAAACAGCGAUGAAGAAAGCCUGGAAAUUGUGAACUUCCUGGUGGAUGUGCCGGAUGUUAGUGAGUACCUGAAAAAGUCAUUUGAAGGCUUGGCGUCGGUUCGAGAGCAGCCAGGAGGUUUGCUCUGCUGCUCCUGGAGGCUUUUAGAAAUCUGCACAACUCAUCAAGCAGUUUUUCACUUGUUUGUUUGAUGGCUUGUUCUUAAAGCUCGGCGCACAGAAGUGAAACCGUUUCCUUCCCGACGCUCUGCACCGUCUCUGAUCACUUUCAUUACUUGUUCUAAAUGAGACUUACGGCWCUGCGGGCUGCACUAAUAGGAAGCUGCUGCCAAGUUCAAAUAAAGUCACUUUUUGUCUUCAAAGGAAAAUUCUCCUUCCAAUUUUCUAACUCUUUUUAAAAAAACUGUUGUGUUCUCUUAGCGCAGUGGGAUCUCUAAACACCGCUGCGGUAGCUGACUUUCUGAGGGUUUGGUAUUAUUAGAGGGUUUUUAAAACAGCACGGAUGGCCUGAUUUUAAACGAGGCCCUUGCAAAGUAUAGAUUGAACACAGGAGCGCAGUUCUGGUGCAGCGUGCAUGAAGAAAGAUGUGCUAAAACUAGCCUGGCAGUGAGCGGAUGGGUGGUAUCAGACACAAUCUGAGAGCUAAAUCUGCAGCAGUGUGCAUGUCUUCCCCCAACAAGCAUGUGUGUGUGUGUGUGUGUGUGUGUGUGUGUGUGUGUGUGUGUGUGGGUGUGUGUGUGUGUGUGUUUAAACAGGCCUUUAGAUCGCCUAAAGCUUCCACUCUGUCAGACAAUGUGUGUGUGCUGAUUAAAAAAAUGUGCAUGUUCCUCACUUCUAUACACUGUUUUUAAGGUGUCAGUCCACUAGUAUUUUUUUUCUAUAUUCUUUUCAGUAACAUUGCCAAAAAUAUACAAAGAUACACACACACACACACACACACAC